GCACCCGUAGCUCAGCUGGAUAGAGCGUUGGCCUCCGGAGCCAAAGGUCAGAGGUUCGAAUCCUCUCGGGUGCACCA
rnacentral:tRNA from 1 species